UACGUAGGGUGCGAGCGUUGUCCGGAAUUAUUGGGCGUAAAGGGCUCGUAGGCGGUCUGUUGCGUCGGGCGUGAAAACUCAGGGCUUAACCCUGAGCCUGCUUCCGAUACGGGCAGACUAGAGGUAUGCAGGGGAGAACGGAAUUCCUGGUGUAGCGGUGAAAUGCGCAGAUAUCAGGAGGAACACCGGUGGCGAAGGCGGUUCUCUGGGCAUGACCUGACGCUGAGGAGCGAAAGUGUGGGGAGCGAACAGG
rnacentral:rRNA from 1 species